GACGAACGCUGGCGGCGUGCCUAAUACAUGCAAGUAGAACGCACAGUUUAUACCGUAGCUUGCUACACCAUAGACUGUGAGUUGCGAACGGGUGAGUAACGCGUAGGUAACCUGCCUGGUAGCGGGGGAUAACUAUUGGAAACGAUAGCUAAUACCGCAUAAUAUUAAUUAUUGCAUGAUAAUUAAUUGAAAGGUGCAAUUGCACCACUACCAGAUGGACCUGCGUUGUAUUAGCUAGUAGGUGAGGUAACGGCUCACCUAGGCGACGAUACAUAGCCGACCUGAGAGGGUGAUCGGCCACACUGGGACUGAGACACGGCCCAGACUCCUACGGGAGGCAGCAGUAGGGAAUCUUCGGCAAUGGACGAAAGUCUGACCGAGCAACGCCGCGUGAGUGAAGAAGGGUGUCGGAUCGGAAAGCUCUGUUGUAAGAGAAGAACGGGUGUGAGAGUGGAAAGUUCACACUGUGACGGUAUCUUACCAGAAAGAGACGGCUAACUACGUG
rnacentral:rRNA from 1 species